rnacentral:rRNA from 1 species
CGACUUGGAGGUUGUUCCCUUGAGGAGUGGCUUCCGGAGCUAACGCGUUAAGUCGACCGCCUGGGGAGUACGGCCGCAAGGUUAAAACUCAAAUGAAUUGACGGGGGCCCGCACAAGCGGUGGAGCAUGUGGUUUAAUUCGAUGCAAUGCGAAGAACCUUACCUACUCUUGACAUCCAGAGAACUUAGCAGAGAUGCUUUGGUGCCUUCGGGAACUCUGAGACAGGUGCUGCAUGGCUGUCGUCAGCUCGUGUUGUGAAAUGUUGGGUUAAGUCCCGCAACGAGCGCAACCCUUAUCCUUUGUUGCCAGCGAUUCGGUCGGGAACUCAAAGGAGACUGCCGGUGAUAAACCGGGGGAAGGUGGGGAUGACGUCAAGUCAUCAUGGCCCUUACGAGUAGGGCUACACACGUGCUACAAUGGCGCAUACAAAGAGAAGCGGCCUCGCGAGAGUAAGCGGACCUCACAAAGUGCGUCGUAGUCCGGAUCGGAGUCUGCAACUCGACUCCGUGAAGUCGGAAUCGCUAGUAAUCGUGGAUCAGAAUGCCACGGUGAAUACGUUCCCGGGCCUUGUACACACCGCCCGUCACACCAUGGGAGUGGGUUGCAAAAGAAGUAGGUAGCUUAACCUUCGGGAGGGCGCUUACCACUUUGUGAUUCAUGACUGGGGUGAAGUCGUAACAAGGUAAC